rnacentral:rRNA from 1 species
GGCUAACGCUGGCGGCGCGCCUAACACAUGCAAGUCGAACGGGCACUUCGGUGCUAGUGGCAGACGGGUGAGUAACGCGUGAGCAACGUGCCUCUUUUCUGGGGAUACCGUUUCGAAAGGAACGUUAAUACCGAAUGUGGUGUAACUGCGGCAUCGUAGUUUCACUAAACUGUUAGGGAGAAGAGAUCGGCUCGCGUACUAUCAGCUAGAUGGUGGGGUAACGCCUACCAUGGCUACGACGGUUAACUGGUCUGAGAGGAUGAUCAGUCACACUGGAACUGAGACACGGUCCAGACUCCUACGGGAGGCAGCAGUGAGGAAUCUUGCACAAUGGGCGAAAGCCUGAUGCAGCGACGCCGCGUGAGGGACGAA